UCCGGGGAAAUUGUGCAGAUUUUCAUUGAAUGUGAAGGAAUGAUACAUUGUCGAUUUCUUAACCGUCCGCCUAAAAUUAAUUUGUAAGAAACUUUGGAAGUCAUGCAGAAACACAGGUGGGUAUAUUAUGAUCAGUACAUAGAAUUUUAUAAACUGAUUUAACUUGUUGUUUUUCCUCGACUAAAACAAAAUAGGUCUAAGUGUACCCGUAAGACGUGUCGUUCUCAAGAAAGCAAUAUCAAGUAUAUGAAACAUAACAAUCUAGCAAAAGCUGCGACUGGGCAGGGGGAUUGGAAAGCCACCCUUAAUAACAGCCAUCUUGCCUCAUAGCUUUUGCAACCCAGUUGGCGCACUUGUUU
rnacentral:misc_RNA from 1 species